rnacentral:rRNA from 1 species
UACGAAGGGGGCUAGCGUUGCUCGGAAUCACUGGGCGUAAAGGGUGCGUAGGUGGUUUGUUAAGUUGGAUGUGAAAUCCCCGGGCUCAACCUGGGAACUGCAUCCAAAACUGGCAAGCUAGAGUAUGGUAGAGGGUGGUGGAAUUUCCUGUGUAGCGGUGAAAUGCGUAGAUAUCAAGUGGAACACCAGUGGCGAAGGCGAGUCUCUGGACAUUUCCUGACGCUGAGGCACGAAAGCCAGGGGAGCAAACGGG